rnacentral:lncRNA from 1 species
GAAGUUCCUGAGACAAUGAGAGGGGAUGCUGGCUGUCUCUUUCUCUUUAUCUUCUCGCAGUAAAGUUCCAGUUCUCCUUGAGGUAAAGUGGAGCCUCUGAUUGACGCGAGGACGCCGGGAAAAUGAAAGCCAAAUUAUUAUUAUUUCAAGUUGUGUUCUUGCGGCGUUCCCGGAUGUCUGUGGUGACCCUCGUUUAUGUGAAGUCAACAAAACUGACCAGCACACCAUCUGAAUGCUACAGCGGGAUGGAGAUGGGAGGCGAAGCCUUGGAAGCUGGAGGGUGAAUAGCUGGUGUGCACAACCCCCUAGCAACGGGCAAACAAGGAGGAGUGUGGAAUGGGAGUCAGUGCUUAAUGGGCAUAAAGUUUCCAUUUGGUUGUAGAGACGAUGGUGCUGAUGGCUAUAAGGCGUCUUGAAAGUGCUGAAUGCCACCAAACUGCACAAUUGAAACAGUUAAGAUGGUGAAUGUUGUGUGUGUUUUCCUGCCGCUGAAUACUGUAUUUUUUUUUCUGGUUCCAUGUGAGACUCUAAGGACAUGGAGGUGAGGAAGACAUGCAAGGUCCUGUCUGCAUGGAGUUUACAGUUGUGGAAGAGAUGAGCAGGAAGCUGGAUGGAGAAUAUUUGCCAUUCAUCAGUGCUCCACAAAUUGUUAAGAUUUCUUCCUGGGGCCUGAGAGACAAUACACUUCCAGAGGACCCGAGUUUGAUUUCCAGCACCAACAUGGCAGCUCACUACAGUCUGUAACUGCACUCCUGGUCCGGUCUGCAGGCACUGUGUGUGCGCAUAAGGAGUGUGGACGUACAUGAAGGCAGAACACUCAUUAUACGUGAAAUUAAAAAAUUAAUAUUGUUUAAAA